ACGAACCGUGCUAACGUUAUUCGGAAUCACUGGGCUUAAAGCGCGUGUAGGCGGAUGGGAACGUCGGUUGUUGAAAGCCCCCGGCUCAACCGGGGAACUGGCACCGAAACGCCCCGUCUGGAGGGACGUAGGGGGACCUGGAACUUCCGGUGGAGCGGUGAAAUGCGUUGAGAUCGGAAGGAACGCCCGUGGCGAAAGCGAGGUCCUGGACGUUUUCUGACGCUGAGACGCGAAAGCUAGGGGAGCGAACGGGAUUAGAUACCCCGGUAGUCCUAGCUGUAAACGAUGGGCACUGGAUAGGGGGCUCGCCGAUGGGCUCCCUGUCGUAGGGAAACCGUGAAGUGCCCCGCCUGGGGAGUAUGGUCGCAAGGCUG
rnacentral:rRNA from 1 species